rnacentral:rRNA from 1 species
GACAGAGGGUGCAACGUUGUUCGGAAUUACUGGGCGUAAAGCGGUGUGUAGGCGGCCACGUAAGUCGGAUGUGAAAGCCCCAGGCUCAACCUGGGAAGUGCACUCGAUACUGGCGUGGCUUGAGUAUCGGAGAGGUUGGUGGAAUUCUACGGUGUAGAGGUGAAAUUCGUAGAUAUCGAGAGGAACACCGGUGGCGAAGGCGGCCAACUGGACGAAUAACUGACGCUGGAGAACACGGAAAGCGUGGGGAGCAAACAGG